rnacentral:rRNA from 1 species
AGUGAACGCUGGCGGUAGGCCUAACACAUGCAAGUCGAACGGCAGCACAGUAAGAGCUUGCUCUUACGGGUGGCGAGUGGCGGACGGGUGCGGAAUACAUCGGAAUCUACUUUUUCGUGGGGGAUAACGUAGGGAAACUUACGCUAAUACCGCAUACGACCUACGGGUGAAAGCAGGGGAUCUUCGGACCUUGCGCGCUUGUAUGAGCCGAUGUCGGAUUAGCUAGUUGGCGGGGUAAAGGCCCACCAAGGCGACGAUCCGUAGCUGGUCUGAGAGGAUGAUCAGCCACACUGGAACUGAGACACGGUCCAGACUCCUACGGGAGGCAGCAGUGGGGAAUAUUGGACAAUGGGCGCAAGCCUGAUCCAGCCAUACCGCGUGGAGGAAGAAGGCCUUCGGGUUGUAAAGCCCUUUUGUUGGGAAAGAAAAGCAGCAGGUUAAUACCCCGCUGUUCUGACGGUACCCAAAGAAUAAGCACCGGCUAACUUCGUG